ACAGAUCUUAUGAGCUAUUCAAAUUCUAAUUUCACUUUUUUACAUUUUAGGGUCAAGCGACAGAUAUUCAAAUACAAGCUGAGGAAAUUAUCAAGUUAAAAAAGCAACUUACGAAAAUUUAUGUGAAACACUCUGGUCGAUCUUACGAAACUUUAUAUCAACUAUGGAAAGAGACAAUUUUUUGUCUCCAGAGGAAGCAAAACAACUUGGACUUAUUGAUCAAAUAUUGGAACACCCUCCUGAAAUGUCUGCUAGUGAUGGCGGAAGAGAAUAACUUCGAGCUUGAUUAAUUUUAUAUUUUCUCAAAAAUCAAGGAAGAACGCGACAAUGUAGUAACAUAUUUAAAACAACAUUUUGUGUUCAAUUAAAAACAUAUUGGAUCCAAUAUAUUAUUGACCCCGAUAUUCCGCAACCUUUGUAAAAUUCAAAGGCUCUACAUUUGGAGGCGAUUCGAGGAGUUUUGCUGCAGGCAAUGGAUUAAAAGCAAACCUAACAAUAACAAUUUAAGUUUCCAAAUUUUGAAAGCAAUGGGAUUUCCUUUGGUUUGAGCAAAUUGAAACCCAAUUUAAAUUCCACAGCAUUAUAAACAGUAAAAGAAAGAAUUUAGCAUGAAUCUUUAUUAUUCACUUAUAAUUAAUAUAAGUUUAAGUGUCAAUAAAUAAAUAAUUAAUUAAUAUUUCAAAAAAUUAUAUAUAACUGAUGUUAAAAACUGUUCUUAAGACUUUUUUAAUCUAAAAUACUGAUAGCUACAUGUAGUCGAUGUUUCGUUCUUAAAAUGAUUACUUUCGAUGAGAAAACUACUAAAUUAUUACCCUUAGAAAAACCAAAAACAAUUGUUCCUUCCGAAAACGUGAAAAUUUCUCAAUUUUAGCAUUAUGUAAUUAGAAAAUUCAGCAACGUAGGACUUUGAAAUUUUCGGUAGUGAAAUAGAAUUUGUUGUUCUAUAAUAUCUUAAAAACAUUUAUUCCAAAAGACGAAAUUAAUUUUAUUUAAUUCAUUUCAGUUUUUUUAAUUUCGCCCGCAAGCCAAAAACACAUAACGAGAACUACAAUACCAAGACGUUUCAACUCAUCCAUCAAUAUCAGCUUCUAUGGAAAAAACGUCGAUAUUAUCUGCAUACAAACAGACAACGCCUGCCAUCAACAACUAAGUGCUCGAUGUUAUUAAAAAAUAAAUAUAAAACGGGCCCAAGGCAGAAACUUGCGGAACUGCACAUUGGACGCUGCGAUAAUAAUAAUAAUAUGGUAUAGUGGUUGUAAUAAAAAUCACAUAAAAAAUUUAAAUCCACAACCAAUCAGCUCCACCAAAGUGCCGAUACUCAAUAAAUCUACCUUCAAAUAUUAUAAUAAAAUUAGAAAAGCGAGCAAACAAAUUCUCAUACUGUUGCGACACCUUAA